GCCCUGAGUGUGGAUGUGGUAGAAGCAAUCAUAAAAGGCAAGAAGAGAGUGGAGAUUGGGAAGGGAGGAGGAGAAGAGUAGAAAGACUCCUAAGAGGAGCCUGCAAACCAAAAUUCUGAAGUACUUGAAGAAAAUGAAAAAUCCUAAGGAAGACAGUCAGCAGUUACUCAAGGUAUCAUGUUCCAGGGCCAAGUCACAAGUUCUGUGAACAUCAAGAUGCAGUCACGUGGUGGCAGUGAUGGUAACAGUGUCACUAUCAGCAACUUCCUGGUCUGGCUUCCUGAUCUCCAGUGAUUCCAGCUGUUCCAGCAAAGCACAGCCGCUGCUUCUUCCCUUGGACGAGGGGUAUCUCCUUACCGCUGCCCUUCCUGACCUUCAACGUGGGAUAGCUCCGAAAUCAGAUUGAUUAUAUUCUUUGCAGCCAAAGAUGGAGAAGCUCUAUACAGUCAGCAAAAACAAGACCGGGAGCUGACUGUGGCUCAGAUCAUGAACUCCUUAUUACCAAAUUCAGACUCAAAUUGAAGAAAGUAGGGAAAAUCACUAGACCAUUCAAGUAUGACCUAAAUCAAAUCCCUUAUGAUUAAAACCAGUAUGUAGUAGAUGAAGAGGAAAUUUUAUAGUGGAAGAAUCAGACUGUAACCAUUUGAACCCACCGAUCAGUCUUUGCAUUGCUAUUAAUAAGUGUGGGCAAGCAAGCCAUUGGAGUAUCUGUUCAUAAAUACAGCAGAUAAAGGACAUCCCAGAAAAGCAA